UGGGGGAAUAUUGCACAAUGGGGGGAAACCCUGAUGCAGCGACGCCGCGUGAAGGAAGAAGUAUCUCGGUAUGUAAACUUCUAUCAGCAGGGAAGAAUUAGGACGGUACCUGACUAAGAAGCCCCAGCUAACUACGUGCCAGCAGCCGCGGUAAUACGUAGGGGGCAAGCGUUAUCCGGAUUUACUGGGUGUAAAGGGAGCGUAGACGGAUGGACAAGUCUGAUGUGAAAGGCUGGGGCUCAACCCCGGGACUGCAUUGGAAACUGCCCGUCUUGAGUGCCGGAGAGGUAAGCGGAAUUCCUAGUGUAGCGGUGAAGUGCGUAGA
rnacentral:rRNA from 1 species